rnacentral:rRNA from 1 species
AACAAGGAUUCCCCUAGUAACUGCGAGUGAAGCGGGAAAAGCUCAAAUUUGAAAUCUGACAGUCCUUGGCUGUCCGAGUUGUAACCUAGAGAAGUGUUACCCGCGCUGGACCGUGUACAAGUCUCCUGGAAUGGAGCGUCAUAGAGGGUGAGAAUCCCGUCUUUGACACGGACUACCAGGGCUUUGUGGUAUGCUCUCAAAGAGUCGAGUUGUUUGGGAAUGCAGCUCAAAAUGGGUGGUAAAUUCCAUCUAAAGCUAAAUAUUGGCGAGAGACCGAUAGCGAACAAGUACCGUGAGGGAAAGAUGAAAAGAACUUUGGAAAGAGAGUUAAACAGUAUGUGAAAUUGCUGAAAGGGAAACGCUUGAAGUCAGUCACAUUGGCCAGGGAUCAGCCUUGCUUUUGCUUGGUGUACUUUCUGGUUGAUGGGUCAGCAUCAAUUUUGACUGCUGGAAAAAGACUUGGGGAAUGUGACAGCUCUGGCUGUGUUAUAGACCCUUGUCAUAUACAGCAGUUGGGAUUGAGGAACUCAGCAUGCCGCAAGGCCGGUUUCGACCACGUUCAUGCUUAGGAUGCUGGCAUAAUGGCUUUAAGCGACCCGUCUUGAAACACGGACCAAGGAGUCUAACAUGCCUGCGAGUGUUUGGGUGGAAAACCCAUGCGCGUAAUGAAAGUGAAAGUUGAGAUCCCUGUCGUGGGGAGCAUCGACGCCCGGACCAGAACUUUUGGGACGGAUCUGCGGUAGAGCAUGUAUGUUGGGACCCGAAAGAUGGUGAACUAUGCCUGAAUAGGGUGAAGCCAGAGGAAACUCUGGUGGAGGCUCGUAGCGAUUCUGACGUGCAAAUCGAUCGUCAAAUUUGGGUAUAGGGGCGAAAGACUAAUCGAA